CACUACCCCGCUAGUUCGAACUAGCGGGGUAGUGUAGACAUACCCCCAGGGCUCAGGACAGAGCCAGGUCAGCACGUGGAGAACAGGCCCCUCCAUGGGGCCCAGGGGGUGGGGACCCAGCCCCAUGUUCUGCGCGUCCCUCGCCUCUGCCAGACGCUGGGCAAGGCGGCUGGUUGGGUUGCUCAGGGUUUGCCUCUCUCUGGGAGCCAGGACCCGGGCGCGAUGGGCCUGGGUCUGGCCCUUCGCUUGUUCUUAGCAUAGAAUCCCAGAGCAGUAGACCUGGCAGGGCCCUUGAGCGUCAUGGAGUCCAGUCCCUGCCCCCACGGCAGCACCAACUAGACCUGUGGUCCCCAACCUUUCGUGGCUGCUGGGUGUCCGGGGGCGGGGCCGCUCAUGCACCGGGCGUCCGGGGAGGGGGUCACGCAUGCACCACGCGCCUGGGGGUGGGGGCCGUCCAUGCGCCCUGAGCCCAGGGCCAGCACCACGCAUGUGCUGGGGGCAGGGCCAGCCCAGAUGUUUCGGCGGGCACCAUGGCGCCCGUGGGCACCACACUGGGGAGCACUGAGCUAGACCAUCGCUGACAGCGUCUGUCCAACCUGCUCUUCAAUAUCCAGGGAUGGAGAUUCCUCCAGCUGAGUCUCCUAAGCAGCGCAGGGUAAAGCGGGAGAGCGACGUCUCGUGUCUGGCUCACAGCACCCCUGUUCAUGCCGCCCAGAACCAUGUUUGCCUUUUGCAACAGCAUCACGCUGCUGACUCAUGUUUAGCUUGUGAUUCACUCUGAGCCCUGGAUCCCUUUCCGCAGUUCUCCUUCCGAGACCGUCGCUUCCUAUUCUGUGUGUGUGACACGGACUGGUCCUGCCUACGUGGGGCACUUCGCAUUUGUCCUCAUUAAACUUCAUCCUGUUCACCUCUGA